AAGUGAGGGAGUUUCUACACUUCUUUAGAUCCUUCCAAUGACAAAGUGAGGAAGUUUCUAUACUAUCCGUUGACAAAUCCCAAUGACACGUGAGGGAUAUGUCGACACUUCAAGUGAUGACCCUUAAGUCAAAUGUUAUCACUCGGGGGCUCGUGAGACCCUCGCCAAAACAGGUCACCAUGGCUUGUGCGACGCACUCCGUCUAAUACUUUGGCCCUCGUCUUACUCCAAGACUCAGUCAAAGUGGGGGCUAACUGUAGACACCUACUUUUGUCCCCAUUCCCGAAAGGGAAGGUUCGAUGAUGAAAACGUAAAUCUCCACUUGACAACGCAUCUCCUAUAAAAUAACUAAUCUCAAUUCCCCUUUUCAUUUCACCCGAAACCUGCUAUUUAUAGAAACCUGCUAAAAAUAGUAACUGUCGUAAAGGGUAGCUUCUAAAAGUGGCAAGUCAUAAAAGAUAGAAACUUGUCAGAAUUAGGUGUUGCACUCCAAUAUAAAUCCUAAAUGAGAUAGAAAACUGCGAGAAUCCUAUUCCUAAUAUGAUUCGGAAAUAAGAGUUACGUAUUAAUUAAAAUCCUAACGAGCCUAGAGUUCGUAACGGGCCCAGACGCAUUCCGUCAUGAAAUUGAUACGCACUAAAAGACUCGAUUAAGUCUCAAACACUAAGGAUUUCAGGAAUCCGAAUCUGACUAAGAAAACAGCCCAGACCCUAUUUUCAACGCCUGGCUCUGGGCGCCGAAAUCUUCGGCGCCCAACCCUGGGCGCUGAAAAUACCUGGGUACGUGUUUUUUCCUAAUUCUUUGUGGAUUAGAACUCUGCGAAUUCUAUCUUUCCACAAACUCUUUUCUAUAAAUAUAGCCCGAGUUCGACGUGAAACACAACACACAAUUAAUAUUAUGAGUAUUGACUCCAACCCAUAAGCCUAAGGCUCACGCUGCGAAAUUGAUCACGCAUUCUGUCGCAAUCGAUCCAUAAAUCGAACAGAACGUAUCCUGUCCCAUAAUUUGAGAUUCGUUAAAUAAAAAGGAGAAAUAGCAAAGUCAAUGUGGUUAGUUUUCUGAGAACCGUGACGCACCUCUCAAGGGUGCGUCGUAAUGUGUCCCUUUUCGAUGAUUUAAUUGCUUUCCUCGCCCUUUUUAUGAACUGUUAAACUAACUAAAUCUGAUUGUUCUAUCACGCCUAACAAAUAUAAUAUUUUUGGGAAAUUGGAUUAUCAUGCUAGGUCCCUUAAUGCUAUUUAAAUCAGAUAAUCGCGAUCAAUCUAGUAUUAUAUGUUGCAUAUUGCUAAAAUCAACUCAGAUUAGUUUAAUAGUUAACGCAUGUCCCUUCAAUUAUUUAUGCUGAGCUAGUAAGGAUAUCCUGCCUCUGGAGUUAUCGAAGAGCGAGUACUCCUCUCGGUAGUUACAGUCCCCCGAACCCUCAAUCUCUACCUUGCGGGUGUAUGUUGAGAGAUCCCCACACCAGGGAUCACAAGGGAACCUACGGCCGUCGUGGUCAAACAUAAUUGCACUCCCUUUAUGUCACGAUAACCGGGUUUUGUCAGUUUUUCUCAUUGUCGUUAAAAACUGAAUGGCGACUCCUAUAUUACUAGUCAAUUGGGUGUAAACUCACAGGAAAUCCAAUUACACUUGAUUGAAUAAAAAGAAUCGUCACACCCACGAGGGACGAGGUCACGCAUUAGCCUCGUGCUUUUUCGACCCCCUCACACCCUCCCUGUUUCUAUUUCCUUUCCCAGAAAACCGAGAAUCAUGUUUCUAAGUGAAACAUUGAUUUUUAUUUGCCUCAAAGUCUCAAACCCAUAUUUGAGUUGGGCUAUUUUACUUUGGGCCUUUGAAAUUGGACUCGGAGCUCAGGACGAACGAACCAGCGAAAAUCCUUAGCCAAAAUCGUGGAAGUGAGGUACUGCUGGGAACGAUGGAAACGAGUAGUGGCGAGGAUUUCACUUUAAUAAUAUUCACCUAGUUACGCUUAAUGUUUUAAUAGUUUAAUUAAAGACUCGUAGUAAGUUAUGUACUUUUACCUUGGGAAUACAAAACAAUUAUUAUGUUAAUUUCGGAAUUUAAAUAGCUUAUGAUUGAUGGUUGCCUUGUAAUUCCCAAGAGGGAGUUACGGCAGGUAAUGUCCCGACCGAAUUAGGUUAAUUCCGCUGCUAAUUAUGCUUUAAUACUUGAAUUAGAGGUCGGGGUGUUACAUGAAUACUUCAAUUCUCGAUGUAAAUAUGUGACCCUAGGCACCUAUUUAUAGAGUUUAUGGAAAGGAAUUAUA